GUAGGGCUUGAAACUGGAGGAGCAGAAACACUAUCAGGAGGGAGGCUGGCUUGGGAGUCGAGCUGCCUGCACCGGCUCUAAAUCACACGUUACUGGUGUGUGAGCAUGAGCGCGACAGAGGCAAACAGCCCCUUGGCUUCCUUUGCUCAAG